rnacentral:rRNA from 1 species
GGGUUGUGAGGUUAAGCGACUAAGCGUACACGGUGGAUGCCCUGGCAGUCAGAGGCGAUGAAGGACGUGCUAAUCUGCGAUAAGCGCCGGUAAGGUGAUAUGAACCGUUAUAACCGGCGAUUUCCGAAUGGGGAAACCCAGUGUGAUUCGUCACACUAUCAUUAACUGAAUCCAUAGGUUAAUGAGGCGAACCGGGGGAACUGAAACAUCUAAGUACCCCGAGGAAAAGAAAUCAACCGAGAUUCCCCCAGUAGCGGCGAGCGAACGGGGAGGAGCCCAGAGCCUGAAUCAGCAUGUGUGUUAGUGGAAGCGUCUGGAAAGGUGCGCGAUACAGGGUGACAGCCCCGUACACAAAAGCGCAUGUGCUGUGAGCUCGAUGAGUAGGGCGGGACACGUGGUAUCCUGUCUGAAUAUGGGGGGACCAUCCUCCAAGGCUAAAUACUCCUGACUGACCGAUAGUGAACCAGUACCGUGAGGGAAAGGCGAAAAGAACCCCGGCGAGGGGAGUGAAAAAGAACCUGAAACCGUGUACGUACAAGCAGUGGGAGCACAGGUUUACCUGUGUGACUGCGUACCUUUUGUAUAAUGGGUCAGCGACUUAUAUUCUGUAGCAAGGUUAACCGUAUAGGGGAGCCGGAGGGAAACCGAGUCUUAACCGGGCGUUAAGUUGCAGGGUAUAGACCCGAAACCCGGUGAUCUAGCCAUGGGCAGGUUGAAGGUUGGGUAACACUAACUGGAGGACCGAACCGACUAAUGUUGAAAAAUUAGCGGAUGACCUGUGGCUGGGGGUGAAAGGCCAAUCAAACCGGGAGAUAGCUGGUUCUCCCCGAAAGCUAUUUAGGUAGCGCCUCGUGAAUUCAUCUCCGGGGGUAGAGCACUGUUUCGGCUAGGGGGCCAUCCCGGCUUACCAACCCGAUGCAAACUGCGAAUACCGGAGAAUGUUAUCACGGGAGACACACGGCGGGUGCUAACGUCCGUCGUGAAGAGGGAAACAACCCAGACCGCCAGCUAAGGUCCCAAAGUCAUGGUUAAGUGGGAAACGAUGUGGGAAGGCCCAGACAGCCAGGAUGUUGGCUUAGAAGCAGCCAUCAUUUAAAGAAAGCGUAAUAGCUCACUGGUCGAGUCGGCCUGCGCGGAAGAUGUAACGGGGCUAAACCAUGCACCGAAGCUGCGGCAGCGAACGUAUCACUUAAAGCGAUUCAGCGGGUUACGAUUGACGGAGCGAAGCGACGUCAAAGCGUAUACAAAGUCGAGUCGGUUUAAGGAUACGUUCGUUGGGUAGGGGAGCGUUCUGUAAGCCCGUGAAGGUGGCCUGUGAGGGUUGCUGGAGGUAUCAGAAGUGCGAAUGCUGACAUAAGUAACGAUAAAGCGGGUGAAAAGCCCGCUCGCCGGAAGACCAAGGGUUCCUGUCCAACGUUAAUCGGGGCAGGGUGAGUCGACCCCUAAGGCGAGGCCGAAAGGCGUAGUCGAUGGGAAACGGGUUAAUAUUCCCGUACUUGGUGUUACUGCGAAGGGGGGACGGAGAAGGCUAUGUUGGCCGGGCGACGGUUGUCCCGGUUUAAGCGUGUAGGUGUGUGUUCCAGGUAAAUCCGGUUCACUUUAACACUGAGGCGUGACGACGAGGCACUACGGUGCUGAAGCAACAAAUGCCCUGCUUCCAGGAAAAGCCUCUAAGCAUCAGGUAACACGAAAUCGUACCCCAAACCGACACAGGUGGUCAGGUAGAGAAUACCAAGGCGCUUGAGAGAACUCGGGUGAAGGAACUAGGCAAAAUGGUGCCGUAACUUCGGGAGAAGGCACGCUGACACGUAGGUGAAGUGAUUUACUCAUGGAGCUGAAGUCAGUCGAAGAUACCAGCUGGCUGCAACUGUUUAUUAAAAACACAGCACUGUGCAAACACGAAAGUGGACGUAUACGGUGUGACGCCUGCCCGGUGCCGGAAGGUUAAUUGAUGGGGUCAGCGCAAGCGAAGCUCCUGAUCGAAGCCCCGGUAAACGGCGGCCGUAACUAUAACGGUCCUAAGGUAGCGAAAUUCCUUGUCGGGUAAGUUCCGACCUGCACGAAUGGCGUAAUGAUGGCCAGGCUGUCUCCACCCGAGACUCAGUGAAAUUGAACUCGCUGUGAAGAUGCAGUGUACCCGCGGCAAGACGGAAAGACCCCGUGAACCUUUACUAUAGCUUGACACUGAACAUUGAGCCUUGAUGUGUAGGAUAGGUGGGAGGCUUUGAAGUGUGGACGCCAGUCUGCAUGGAGCCGACCUUGAAAUACCACCCUUUAAUGUUUGAUGUUCUAACGUGGACCCGUAAUCCGGGUUGCGGACAGUGUCUGGUGGGUAGUUUGACUGGGGCGGUCUCCUCCUAAAGAGUAACGGAGGAGCACGAAGGUUGGCUAAUCCUGGUCGGACAUCAGGAGGUUAGUGCAAUGGCAUAAGCCAGCUUGACUGCGAGCGUGACGGCGCGAGCAGGUGCGAAAGCAGGUCAUAGUGAUCCGGUGGUUCUGAAUGGAAGGGCCAUCGCUCAACGGAUAAAAGGUACUCCGGGGAUAACAGGCUGAUACCGCCCAAGAGUUCAUAUCGACGGCGGUGUUUGGCACCUCGAUGUCGGCUCAUCACAUCCUGGGGCUGAAGUAGGUCCCAAGGGUAUGGCUGUUCGCCAUUUAAAGUGGUACGCGAGCUGGGUUUAGAACGUCGUGAGACAGUUCGGUCCCUAUCUGCCGUGGGCGCUGGAGAACUGAGGGGGGCUGCUCCUAGUACGAGAGGACCGGAGUGGACGCAUCACUGGUGUUCGGGUUGUCAUGCCAAUGGCACUGCCCGGUAGCUAAAUGCGGAAGAGAUAAGUGCUGAAAGCAUCUAAGCACGAAACUUGCCCCGAGAUGAGUUCUCCCUGAGACUUAGAGUCUCCUGAAGGAACGUUGAAGACGACGACGUUGAUAGGCCGGGUGUGUAAGCGCAGCGAUGCGUUGAGCUAACCGGUACUAAUGAACCGUGAGGCUUAACCUUACAACGCCGAAG